rnacentral:rRNA from 1 species
AACGAACGCUGGCGGCAUGCCUAACACAUGCAAGUCGAACGAGACCUUCGGGUCUAGUUGCGCACGGGUGCGUAACGCGUGGGAACCUUCCCUUAGGUUCGGAAUAACUCCCCGAAAGGGGUGCUAAUACCGGAUAAUUUCUUCGGACCAAAGAUUUAUCGGCUUUGGAUGGGCCCGCGUUGGAUUAGCUAGUUGGUAGGGUAAAAGCCUACCAAGGCGACGAUCCAUAGCUGGUCUGAGAGGAUGAUCCGCCACACUGGGACUGAGACACGGCCCAGACUCCUACGGGAGGAAGCAGUGGGGAAUAUUGGACAAUGGGCGAAAGCCUGAUCCAGCAAUGCCGCGUGAGUGAUGAAGGCCUGAGGGUUGUAAAGCUCUUUUACCCGGGAUGAUAAUGACAGUACCGGGAGAAUAAGCGCCGGCUAACUCCGUG